GCAAUAAAAUUCUUUCUUAGUCAUGACCCAGCCCUAAAGGGUUAUGGGCUCCGGCAAGCAGUUAGUUACUCACUCUCUCCUUUCUGGUCUAAAUUGGGUUGGAAUAUAUAUCAAAGGAAGCCAGAAAGUGGUUGGGGAGAUUAAAAAAAACAACAACAACAACGUUUAGACUGAAUGUCUUGACGGUCCAUCCAUUCACUUCUGCUUUGAAAAUGGCAUUGUUAUGAGAAAAGUCAUUUUAUUUUCAUUCUUAAAAGGACUUCAUGCAUGAGAUUGCCACUUCACAGAGUAUUUAUCAAACAUGGACAAGCUUAUUUUUAAUCACUGUGUUGAAAGGCAGAAAUUACUUCAUCAGAUUCGUUUUGCUGCUACCUCAAAGACCUAACUGCAGCACCUCAAAGAAAUGAGAAAUUUCAUGAGUAGAGGAAGGAAAGGAACCAGGGAGAUCAGAAAAGACCAGGAUGAAAGUAAAACAGAUUGCUCCCAUAAUGUGGGUGAGCCUCGGCCAGUCAAUUGGAAGGAAGCCUCAAUAGCAUAAAAGACUGCCAUCCCCAGAGUAAGAGGGAAUUCUGCCCGCAAACUGCUUAUGAACUCCAACUGCAGUUCUCUCCUGAGUUACCAGCCUGCAUCCUCCUCCAUCAGAUUUUGGACUCAUCAAGCCUCCACAAUCAUAUAAAGGUGACCCUAGAAGCAUGGCCAUAAACUACCUCAAGAAUGGACAUCUUCAACCAAGUCAAUUAGCAGCAACUGUCCAAAUAUCUGGAACAAGAACAGCAAGAACAGUAGCUGUUGCUCAGAACACAAAAGAGAAGAUAAGCCCAAAAGAUAGACUGUGUGAACUGAACAGGCUUCUUCACAGCCUUUCCCACACUUGCUGGUAUCACAGAGGUGAUGCAACCUGAGGCUCAAGCAUGAUAUCAAUGCCCAACUGAUGCUGCAUGAAGUAACACUCACUCUUCUGUGGAUACUGGAACAGAUGCUUUUGGUGCUCACAUUACAUCCCUGGACCCCCUUCUGAAUCCUGUGCAGUUGUGUGGACAGUUCCAUGUAGGCUUUUUGCUCUUCUGCCUCAGGGCUUUCAUCAAAGUCAGGGCAGCCUAGUCAGCUCAGAAAGCGAGUGUGGGGGAGCUUUGCAGUGAAAGCUAAGCUACCAGGGGCAACUCUCAACCCAUGACGGGUGGAGCUACAACAUUAUUUUAGUCUGCACAGUUAAGUCACAAAAGGUGAAGCAUAAAGACAGAAAGGCAAAUAUUAGGACAAAACACAUAAUCAUCCAAAAUUUGGAUGGUGCCAGGGAAAGGAAUGAGAAAUGGAACAAUAUGUAUUUUGUCAUUGCUUAUAGUAAGGAAUUAACAGUCUUUCAAAAGAAAUACAGGAUUAAGGACAUUGUAUAAUGUCAAUCAUACAGAACAAAUAUGAAAACCUUUUAAGUCAUAAGAAUUAAGAUAGCCACAAAGCAAAGAAAAUACAGAUCUUAUAGAAAACCAUACAAAGUAAGAAUAAAAACUGAGAUGAAGGUGGUGUAAAAUAUUACAUACUUCUAAGAUCAAACAUUAUUUUCACAUUAAUAAAUGUAUUAAUGGACAAAUUUGCCUAUUCAAAAUCCCAAAAAAAGAUUUUUUUUUUUGGAAAUUGUAAAGCUAAAUUUAAUUGUAGGCUUUAUACAACAGAUACUUAAAACAAAAAAACAAAAUAAGAAAAGUUGUAAAUUAAAUUAUGGGAAAAUGCAUGUGAGAAAAAUGCAAGCAAACAAUUAGGAAAGCAGGGGUUACAACCUUAGUAUUAGAAAAAGUAAAUAGGA
rnacentral:lncRNA from 10 species